rnacentral:rRNA from 1 species
UACGAAGGGGGCUAGCGUUGCUCGGAAUCACUGGGCGUAAAGGGUGCGUAGGCGGGUCUUUUAAGUCAGGGGUGAAAUCCUGGAGCUCAACUCCAGAACUGCCUUUGAUACUGAAGAUCUUGAGUCCGGGAGAGGUGAGUGGAACUGCGAGUGUAGAGGUGAAAUUCGUAGAUAUUCGGAGGAACACCAGAAGCGAAGGCGGCCAACUGGCCCGAUACUGACGCUGAGGCGCGAAAGCGUGGGGAGCCAAACAGGG